rnacentral:rRNA from 1 species
GAUGAACGCUGGCGGCGUGCCUAAUACAUGCAAGUCGAGCGAACGGACGAGAAGCUUGCUUCUCUGAUGUUAGCGGCGGACGGGUGAGUAACACGUGGAUAACCUACCUAUAAGACUGGGAUAACUUCGGGAAACCGGAGCUAAUACCGGAUAAUAUUUUGAACCGCAUGGUUCAAAAGUGAAAGACGGUCUUGCUGUCACUUAUAGAUUGAUCCGCGCUGCAUUAGCUAGUUGGUAAGGUAACGGCUUACCAAGGCAACGAGGCAUAGCCGACCUGAGAGGGUGGUCGGCCACCCGGGAACUGAGGCACGGUACAGACUCCUACGGGAGGCAACAGUAGGGAAUCUUCCGCAAUGGGGGAAAGCCUGACGGAGCAACGCCGCGGGAGUGAUGAAGGUCUUCGGAUCGUAAAGCUCUGUUAUUAGGGAAGAACAUAUGUGUAAGUAACUGUGCACAUCUUGACGGUACCUAAUCAGAAAGCCACGGCUAACUACGUG